AAUUCACUUUUAUUGAUUUUUUUUAAUUCCUUAUUGAUUUGUUUUAUAAAUAAAUAUAAUUUUCUUAACAAAAAAAUAUUAAAACAAUCACCCAAGAAUAUGACAAGUAGUCCAUGAAGAGAAAAGGGGGGUUCACAUUGACCAACUUACCGGACAGACCGAUUGUCAUUUGGCCUGAUGGCCGAAUUAUAUUUUUCGUUCACACUCAUCAGACAAUUUUCAUCAAAACCCAUUUUUCAGCUUAUUUUUAAUAUAUCUUUACACUAUUCUGUUCUCAAAUUAGAGAGAAUGGACUAUCACUGUCUGCCGGACAGACAUGUCGUUUAAUAGACUAACAUGUCCGUCCGACCACCAAAAAAUCAAAAUUUUUUGAAAACCAUCCGGCAAAUCGGACAGGCUGUCGGAUGGGUGUUCACAUUAUCAAAACAGCAUCAGAUCAGACCAAAUGGCGGCUGGUCUGUCCGGUAAGUUAGUCAAUGUGAACCCCCCUAAAUGUAGCAGUAUUGGUAAUCACUCCAUCACUCCUUCAGAAUUUGGGACUGAAGAAUUCACUCCAAAAUUUCACUCCUUUUUCAAUUUUGGAAUUUGAAAUCACUCCUUUUGUGCCUGGCUACACAGUGAUUUUUCAAUCGAUUGAAAAAUCACAUGAGGUGGCUACACACUGUUGUGCCCAAUCACGUUCCAUUUUACAUUUUCUAGGAACAAACGUCAAAAAGAGGAAACAUUUAGCAAUGGAACUGUACUACCCUCAGAAAAUUCAGUUCCCUUCGUGAGCAUCUUCCCCUUUCACUCCUCAUCCCUCUUGCCUACAAACUCACUGCUUAGGCGAUUGAAAAAUCACCUUGUAUAUUAUUUAUAUAUGUGAUUAUAUAUAUAUACUCCUAUAGGAGUGACACUUUUUGAAUUUUGGAAAACGACAUAUGACUGCUUCUACCCUUCAAGCAAGAAAACUGAGUUCAACAAAGAAACUCCGACCUCAGACCGCGAAAAUCGGGCUUGCACUCACACACUUGCAACUUUUUUUGUAUGAACACAAAGUCGAACGAGAAUCGUGGUGAAAAAUGAGAAAAGGAAAAGAAAGACGUCUUUUUUUUCCUUUUCUCAUUUUUCACCACCUUGUACAAGGCCAACAAGAGCCAAAGCGUCAUUUUGUUAUUUUUUGUUGAAGUGUUUGGUCGCGUCGUGUCUCGUGUCGUUGUUUGCAUAAUGUUAGUUUAUUAAUUAUAAACAAUUUUAUUAAAUUAUAAACAAUAUGGAAAACAAAAAAGAUGUAAUCUCUAAUGAUGAAGAAAAAUCUAGAAGGUGAAACAUGCGAUUGGGUAUCUAAAAAAACACCAACAACAGCAGCAGCAUCAAAUGAAAUAAAAUGAAAAAAAAUGUAUUGUAUUUUAUAUUGUAUUUAUUGUGAAAAUUUCGUUUGCCAAAAUAAAAUAAAAAAUAAAACAGUUUCAGUGAAAAAAAAUAAAUCUUGUUCUUUUUUUGGUCGCAAAUGCGAAAUGUCAUCCCUUUCUUAUUCCUCUUUCUGGUAGGUUUUCGCUGCUCCGGCUCAGGUCCGCCUUCGGCUCCGUUUUCUCGGAAUGGAGAUUUUCACCACACCAAUACAUAUGCAAUCGACUUCGCGGUGAUUAUAAUUUCCAUACUAAUUUGAGCCGCCUUCGGACCAGUUUCUGAUGCGAAGUCGGACUCAGCUCCGCCUCAGGCGGAGCUUAUUCGGACCGAGGUCAGACCUGUUUGCUUGAAGGGUACACGUGAAAAACGAGCUUGCACUCAUACACUUGCAACUUUUUGUGUAUGAACACAAAGUCGAACGAGAAUCGUGGUGAAAUAUGAGAAAAGGAAAAGAAAGACAAGGCCAACAAGAGCCAAAGCGUCAUUUUGUUAUUUUUUGUUGAAGUGUUUGGUCGCGUCGUGUCUCGUGUCGUUGUUUGUAUAAUGUUAGUUUAUUAAUUAUAAACAAUUUUAUUAAAUUAUAAACAAUAUGGAAAACAAAAAAGAUGUAAUCUCUAAUGAUGAAGAAAAAUCUAGAAGGUGAAACAUGCGAUUGGGUAUCUAAAAAAACACCAACAACAGCAGCAACAUCAAAUGAAAUAAAAUGAAAAAAAAUGUAUUGUAUUUUAUAUUGUAUUUAUUGUGAAAAUUUCGUUUGCCAAAAUAAAAUAAAAAAUAAAACAGUUUCAGUGAAAAAAAAAUAAAUCUUGUUCUUUUUUUGGUCGCAAAUGCGAAAUGUCAUCCCUUUCUUAUUCCUCUUUCUGGUAGGUUUUCGCUGCUCCGGAUCAGGUCCGCCUUCGGCUCCGUUUUCUCGGAAUGGAGAUUUUCACCACACCAAUACAUAUGCAAUCGACUGCGCGGUGAUUAUAAUUUCCAUACUAAUUUGAGCCGCCUUCGGACCAGUUUCUGAUCCGAAGUCGGACUCAUCUCCGCCUCAGGCGGAGCGGAUUCGGACCGAGGUCGGACCUGUUUGC